CUGGCCACAGGAGUCAAGGAUCUUGGGUCACAAUCAGAGACACAUUGAGCUGGAACCUCUAGCUUCUUUUAUUGGAGGUCUCACAGCAUGGGUCCACCAAUGGCUGCUUUGCUAACAUGUGCCACCACCACGUCCUUGUCACAGUGAAGGAUCCCCUGACUUCUUCAGGAAGAUUUCUUGAUUCUCCCUUCUUUAUGCCCAAGAGCAACUUGUGCAGUGAUCCCACUGCUGUAAGUGGACGUGGCACAAAGUGAUGCUAGUGACUUCUGAGGCUAGGUCACAAAAUGGUUCGCUUCUGCAUGGCUCUUCCUCUCCUGGAUCACUUGCUGUAGUGGGGAGCCAGCAGCCAUGCUGUGAGGAUGCUCAAGCAGCCUGUGGAGAAGACCAUGUGAGGAGGAACUAGGGCCUCCUGUCAACAGCCAGCAUCACCUAGCCAGACACAGGAGAGAACCACCUUGGAGAUGGAUCUGCCAGCCUCAAUCAAGCCAACAUUUUGACUGUCAUCUUUUGAAAAACCUUAGAACAGAAACACCUAGCUAAGCCAUGCCUGAAUUCCUAACCCA